rnacentral:rRNA from 1 species
UAGCCGUAAACGAUACUCGCUAGGUGUCGGCCACGGUGCGACCGUUGUCGGUGCCGUAGGGAAGCCGUGAAGCGAGCCACCUGGGAAGUACGGCCGCAAGGCUGAAACUUAAAGGAAUUGGCGGGGAGCACCACAACGGGUGGAGCUUUGCGGUUUAAUUGGAUUCAACGCCGGAAAUCUUACCGGGACCGACAGCAACAUGAAGGCCAGGCUGAAGACUUUGCCGGAUUAGCUGAGAGGUGGUGCAUGGCGUAGUCGUGU